rnacentral:rRNA from 1 species
GACGAACGCUGGCGGCGUGCUUAACACAUGCAAGUCGAACGGAAAGGCCCUGCUUUUGUGGGGUGCUCGAGUGGCGAACGGGUGAGUAACACGUGAGUAACCUGCCCUUGACUUUGGGAUAACUUCAGGAAACUGGGGCUAAUACCGGAUAAUAUAUUGAACCGCAUGGUUCAAUAGUGAAAGACGGUUUUGCUGUCACUUAUAGAUGGAUCCGCGCCGCAUUAGCUAGUUGGUAAGGUAACGGCUUACCAAGGCAACGAUGCGUAGCCGACCUGAGAGGGUGAUCGGCCACACUGGAACUGAGACACGGUCCAGACUCCUACGGGAGGCAGCAGUAGGGAAUCUUCCGCAAUGGGCGAAAGCCUGACGGAGCAACGCCGCGUGAGUGAUGAAGGUCUUCGGAUCGUAAAACUCUGUUAUUAGGGAAGAACAAAUGUGUAAGUAACUAUGCACGUCUUGACGGUACCUAAUCAGAAAGCCACGGCUAACUACGUG